rnacentral:rRNA from 1 species
GUACCAGACUCCUACGGGAGGCAGCAGUGGGGAAUAUUGGGCAAUGGGCGCAAGCCUGACCCAGCAACGCCGCGUGAAGGAAGAAGGUUUUCGGGUUGUAAACUUCUUUUGACAGGGAAGAGUAGAAGACGGUACCUGUCGAAUAAGCCACGGCUAACUCCGUGCCAGCAGCCGCGGUAAUACGGAGGAUGCGAGCGUUAUCCGGAUUUAUUGGGUUUAAAGGGUGCGCAGGCGGCCUGUUAAGUCAGCGGUAAAAGCCCGGGCAACAACCCCGGCGAGCCGUUGAAACUGGCGGGCUGGAGUUGGAGAGAAGUACGCGGAAUGCGCGGUGUAGCGGUGAAAUGCUUAGAUAUCGCGCAGAACCCCGAUUGCGAAGGCAGCGUACCGGCUCCACACUGACGCUGAGGCACGAAAGCGUGGGUAUCGAACAGGAUUAGAUACCCCGGUAA